UUAAAAUAAAUUUUAGGAGUUGGAGUUGGAGCAUUACCCUACGUUUGCCGCUAGGGCACUGUUCAAACUGCAUACAAAUUUGAGUUA
rnacentral:pre_miRNA from 1 species